rnacentral:rRNA from 1 species
AUGUGGAUUCACUCUCAUGUCGGCAUACUCUCCAGCAAAUCGCCCGAUGAGUUGCGUCUUCUAAUGGCGGAUCCGGUGUCGGCUGCUGUCGCUGUUGGGUGGGCCAUGAAGGCCGCUGGGUGGGUCGCCUCGCCCAUCAUCUCUGAGCUUUACAAGAAGGCCUCCUCCGUCCUCAACUUGGAUGCUUCGGGGAAGCUCAAGGAACUGGAGCCAAAGAUUUUGCUGCUACAGCGCGUGAUGGAAGUAGUUGAGGAGAGCCCUUACAGGCCUUGUCUGGAGCAGCUGUUCAGCGAUCUGAAGUCUGCUUUCUACGAAGCAGAGGACAUCUUGGAUGAUGUUGAGUAUUACCGUCUCGAGAAACAGAUACAAGAUGACUAUCUCAAGUUAGAGGUGGCCACGCCUCGACGGAACAAGAAUCGUGUGAAGAAGCUCUUGAAGUCUGCCGUGAAAAAGUGCAAUGCCCUGAAAGAUGAGCAGUGUGGCAUGUCAAAAAUCGAGUUGAAGCAGAGCCUAGAAAAAAUAGAAAAGGUCAUAAAUGAUGCAUGUGGAUUUUUUGAACAGAUGAACUUUACAAACAAAAGUAACACUAAUCUGACCAAACCUGCCAACUCACGAGGUGCAGUCACUACGGCGAGGCCUCCAUCUGUGGUCAUCGGACGAGAUAAAGAUUGUGAUAACAUAGUAGCAAUGCUUCAUGAUAAGGAAGAAGGUGCUCAACCAGACACCAAGAGUGUUCAAUGUUAUUCCGUAAUCGGCAUUCAUGGCAUCGGUGGUUCUGGGAAAUCAACCCUUUCACAACUUGUUUGUGCCCGUGAGCAAAAGGAUGGUCAUUUCAACCUUGUUAUGUGGGUUCACGUUUCUCAGGAUUUUAGUGUGGAUACCAUUUUCGGGCAGAUGUCUGAGGCCGCUAGCAGGACCCCGUGCCCUCAGUUCAAUAAUCUUGACACCUUACAAACUAAUUUGGAGAAGGUACUGCAUGGAAAACGGUUCCUCUUGGUACUAGAUGAUGUUUGGUACAAUAAUAGAGAUGUGAGGCAGUAUGAGAAGCUGCAACAGAUACUUUCACCGCUGAACGCUGGAGAAGCAGGAAGCAAGAUCCUGGUGACUAGCCGAACUAAAGAUGCAUUGAUAGCUCUGGGUGCUGCAGAGCAGAGAUGUAUUCCCAUGUCAGUCCUAGGUGAAGAUGUCUUCCUGAAAUUGUUCAAGCACUAUGCAUUUCACAACGUGUGCGUUGCUGCUGAUGACCGAAUAAGACUCGAAGACAUCGCAACUCAGAUUGCAAAAAAGCUAAAGGGGUCGCCUCUAGUGGCCAAAAUUGUUGGAGGGCAGCUACGUAUGAGGCCAAACAUUGAUUACUGGAGAAUUUCGCGAGAUGGGAACCACUUGGAUGACACCAUGGGAGCUCUGUGGUGGAGCUACCAACAUCUUGAUGAACAGGUCAGACAAUGCUUCGCUUACUGCAGUAUUUUUCCUCGGAGACGUCAGUUGGAACAACAUGAGUUAGUUAAGCUUUGGGCUGCAGAAGGGUUUGCUAGAAGUAGCGAUGAAGGGAAGGAUUCAGAAGAUGUUUGCCAGGGAUACUUUGAUGUACUAGUGUCAGCCUCAUUUCUGCAACAUGGAGUAGGGAAGUACUCCAGUAAAACGGACACUUAUAUAGUUCAUGAUCUGUUGCUUGAUUUAGCGGAUAAGGUCGCUGGAAGUGAUUGUUUCAGAACUGAGAAUCGGUGGAAAAGGUCAGGAGAUAGCUGGACAAUGGAAGGAUGUGAAGAUGAAGUUCCCCCAGACAUCCGCCAUGUUUUUGUUCAGACCUAUGGUUCAGAAUUGAUCAAUGAGAAAAUAUGUAAAUUGGACAACCUGCGCACUCUCAUCAUUGACAGUGCAGAAGGGAGAACACCAGUUGAGGAGAAAGUCCUCAAGAGUCUGUUUGUGAGGCUAAGGAAGUUGCGGGUGCUUACCGUAGCUAGUGAUCAAGGUAUGUUGUCAGUCCCAGAAUCUAUUGGUCAGCUAAGGCAUCUACGGUAUCUUGCUUUUAUGACCAGAUAUGGUUCAGACAGCAGGCUGGUUUUACCAGGCACUUUGACCAAGCUUUACCACAUGCAGGUUCUAGAUUUUGGUAACAUUAGCGAUUUGGUGUUUGGCUCGUGUGAAGAUAUGUUUAGUCUCAUCAACUUGCGACAUAUAAUCCGAGUGCCGUUUCGGGAAAUUCGAAGCAUUGGCAGGCUGACAUUACUUCGAACGCUGGAAACAUUUGAAGUAAGAGAGGAACAAGGGUGCGAGUUAAAGCAACUCAGCGACCUAAACCAGCUUUGUGGCAAACGGACUAUCUUGGGCCUCCAAAAUGUUGAAAGCCAGCAGGAAGCUCUUGAAGCCAACCUAGCCGAUAAAGAAGGGCUCAGAACAUUGGAACUGUGGUGGAAUUAUGAUGAGAGAGCAGAGUUAAAAGAAAAGGAAGUUCAGACAGAGGUACUAGAGGGUCUAUGCCCACCGAAGCUUCUCGAAUCACUGACCAUAUACUGCUACGAUGGUUUGAGAUACCCAAGUUGGAUGAUGGGUAGGCACAAUGGUGGCCCAAAGUAUCUGAGCACACUCAGCCUGCACUGUUGCAGCACAGAACUUGGCCCAGAACUUGGUGGGUUUUGCCCUCACCUCCGUUCACUCUAUAUCUUCGGUUGCAGCUGGGACACCUUGCCAGACAAAAUGGAGCACCUGACGUCACUGAAGGUCCUGGGCCUCGAUCGCUGCCGGAAUAUUCGGUCGCUUCCAAUGCUGCCGCAGUCUCUUGAGUGCUUCAGACUCAGUCGCUCCAAUGAGAUGUUGACGAGUUCGUGCAGAACAGUUAGAGAUCCCAAUUGGGAAAAGCUUCAGCACGUUCCUGAAGUAUAUGUUGAAGGCUACCGGCUGGAAACGAGAGCCUGA